CAGUAGCCACGGUAAUACGUAGGGGGCAAGCGUUGUCCGGAAUUAUUGGGCGUAAAGCGCGCGCAGGCGGUUUUUUAAGUCUGGUGUCUAAGUGCGGGGCUCAACCCCGUGACGCACUGGAAACUGGGAGACUUGAGUGCAGAAGAGGAGAGCGGAAUUCCACGUGUAGCGGUGAAAUGCGUAGAGAUGUGGAGGAACACCAGUGGCGAAGGCGGCUCUCUGGACUGUAACUGACGCUGAGGCGCGAAAGCGUGGGGAGCAAACAGGAUUAGAUACCCGCGUAGUCCCUGUCUCUUAUACA
rnacentral:rRNA from 1 species